rnacentral:rRNA from 1 species
GGUUAAGCGACUAAGCGUACACGGUGGAUGCCCUGGCAGUCAGAGGCGAUGAAGGACGUGCUAAUCUGCGAUAAGCGUCGGUAAGGUGAUAUGAACCGUUAUAACCGGCGAUUUCCGAAUGGGGAAACCCAGUGUGA